UACAGAGGUCUCAAGCGUUGUUCGGAUUCAUUGGGCGUAAAGGGUGCGUAGGCGGCGCGGUAAGUCGGGUGUGAAAUCUCGGGGCUUAACUCCGAAACUGCAUUCGAUACUGCCGUGCUUGAGGACUGGAGAGGAGACUGGAAUUUACGGUGUAGCGGUGAAAUGCGCAGAUAUCGGGAAGAACACCCGUGGCGAAGGCGGGUCUCUGGGCCGAUACUGACGCUGAGGAGCGAAAGCGUGGGGAGCAAACAGG
rnacentral:rRNA from 1 species